GCAGGGAACAUCAACGCCGUGCACAGGAUCUGCUCUGUAAUCCUUCUGCCAGCCCCUGCAGGGGAAAACACAGCCGUGGGCACGUGGAACCAGAACCUGCCCUUUGACGAGCGUUUCCCAUGAUGCAUGGACAUAACGUGUCCUACCACUGACACCUUGGCUCACUCCCCUCAGGCCACAAAGCACGUACCAAGACUGAGACGAAAAACACAACUCAUGAACUAUCUAGAAGUUUUGCUUCUGAUUGUGUGAGGGAUAUCAUCAAUGUGGCUGUCAUAAUAAAAAAAGAAGCCAUGCUGUACGAAUAACAGUUUUCCUCCGGUGCUCUGCCUGUUGCAGUGCCGUGCUUUGAGAAGGCAGUAAUUUUGUUCCACGUAGCCAAUGAAAAUGUAAAUGAGGAGGAGAUACUGCCCUUUCCUUUUGCACAGGUAUAAAUGAUUCUGUAAUAGAUAAAUCUCACAAAAAAUAUACCUGCUGACAGGGAAAAAAGUACCUAUGCUAUAAACAUCACAAUUUCCACUGCUUAAAAUGGAGAUUGUUUACAGCACAUUAUUAUGUCUUUGUUUGAAAGAUUACAUACUAUAUCUAAAGUUACUCUUUAAGUAUUCGCAAGACACUGUUGCAUUGAGCACAAUACCAAAUCUAAUUUUACCUUAGUCAUGGCAAUACAAAAUCAGAGAAAAUUCUUCACUUAUUCCAAGCAGAGGAAUUUAUGAAUGCUCAUUCAGCGGUUACACGAAAAAGUAGAGAGCAGAAUCCAGCAGGACUUUAAUCAGUUUCUUUUAUAUAUUCAGACAACCUACCUCAAAAGUAUAUUAUUUAUCAACACUAAAAAAGUGUAGAAACUAAUAAAGGAGGCUGAUGUUCUUUCUGUAAG